AUGGUUGGGCCGUGAUUCUCAGUGUUUAUAUAUAAUCACUCCCUUGAUGGGAUCUGCUGUGAGAGUGUCCUGGGGUAUGUGGCCUGUAUCUGAAUACAAGUGAACGUUCUGACUUUUGCCUGCUCUGGAUACUGCAGCUGCAUCCUGUUCAUCUGACCUUCAGUUCUUGGGACUUGAGCUAUCAGCUUACCUGCCAAUCUUGGGAUUCGUUGAUCUUCACAGCCUAUGAGCAAGAGUCCUGCUCUCCAACCUGCCAAUCUUGGGUUUGCCAGCCCCUGCAGCUAUGUGAAUCAGGAGCAGCCCCUAUCCUGAUCCACAGACUUGGACAUUCCAGCCUCUACAAUCAUAAACAUUUUUCUAAACUAUGACAUGAACCAUUUCCAUACUCAUCAGCAGAAACCAAGACAAUGAAUCAGACAAAUGGAGAUGUCACAUGAUACACUGUAGGACUUCCAUUUUUGGACUAAAGGGUACCAUGAUAGUGAUUUUCACCAGACUAUAUGACAUUGCAAAGACCUCUGUGGAUGCAGUGGUUAACCACGUGGCCAUUAACCAAACAGUCAGCAGUUCAAACCCACCAGCAGCUCCAUGGGAGAAAGAUGUGGCAAUGUGUUCCCAUAAAAGAUUUACUGUCUUCGAAACCUUAUGGGGCAGUUCUUCUCCAUCCUAUAGGGUUGCUACGUGUCUGAAUCAACUCAACAGCAAUGGGUCAUUGCAUAAAAACGUAUUUCAAAAAGAACUCUUUUUGUGCCUCCAUGCCUCCCAGCUGCCCACCUCACCCCUCCCCCACCAGAGAGAGCACAUGCUCUAAUAUAUCAAAACAAAAUGACAAAUAAAUAAAAUUAACACUUUUAAUGCCUGGGAGUAAGCAGACAAUAUCAAAUCACAUAAAGAAACAAGACAACUCAACCAAGUGAUCAAAAUUAAGGGGCAGAAAACCUUCUUGAGAAAGAGAUGCUAAUGGAACUGCUUGAUAAAGAAUUCAAAAGGCUUAUUUAUACACAGGGUCCUCAAAGAGAUCAAGGAACCCACAGAUGAAACCAAAGAAAACACAGACAAAACUCUAGAAGAUUCAGGAAAACAAUAAAGAAAAUGACAAAUAAGAUAUACAAAUAUAAAUUGUACAACAGCAACUAGAGACCCAGAUUAACAAUAAAAUAUCAAAAAUAGAUAACUCACUCAAGGGACAUAGAAGUAGGAUUGACACAACAGAAUAAAAAUUAGUGAAAUGGAGGACAAAUCCCUUGAUACUGAUUUUUUUGAGGAACAAUCAGAAGAAAGAAAAAAAAAAAAAAAAUGAAGAAAGCCAAAGAGUAAUGUGGGACACUAUAAAGAGGAAUAAUUUACAUGUGAUUGGAAUCCCAGAACAGGAGGAAACCAAAAGAAGAAGAAGAAAAAAAAAGAAAAGAAAGAAUUUUUGAAGAUCUGCUGGAAGAAAACUUCUUCCAAUACCAUGAAAGAUGAUAAAAUUUAGUUCCAAGAAGCUCAAUGAACACUAUACAGAAUAGGCUUCAAAAGAAAGCCACCAAGACAUAUCAUAAUCAAACUUUCCAAGUCCAAAGAUAAAGAGAGAACUCUGACAGCAGUUCCAAAAAAAUGAAAUAUCACCUAUAAAGGGAUUCCAAUCAGACUAAGCUCUGAUUUCUUGGCAGAAACCGUACAGGCAAGAAGGCAAUGGGAUAACAUAUAUAAAACCCUGAAAGAAAAAGAAUUGCUAACCAAGAAUCAAUACCCUGCAAAACUGUCUCUCAACUACAAUGGCAAAAUUAGGACAUUCUCAGAUAAACAGAAGUUACAAAGAAUUUGUAAAAACCAGACCAUUCUUAUAAAAAAAUAUUAAAGGGAUUUCUUUGGAUAGAAAACCAACGGCAUCAGACAACAACCUUAGAGUAAGCCACAUGAUGGCAUCACCAAGAUGCCAACCCGGAGAGAAAUCUCAAAAGUAAAAGCUACAGAACCAAAAACAAGGAACCAGAAAUGCCAAACCUAAGUGAUGACAACUUCAAAACAAAAAGGGGGAGUAAAUCGUGUAGACACAGAACAUCCAUAUGGAGAGGAAGUAAUGGCGAUAAAGAAAUAACAGACUGUUUUGAACUUAGGAAGAUAAAGGUAAAGGUUAGAGUAAUCACAAAGAAAGCUAAUAAACCUACUCACCAAAAUAAAGAAGUAAACCAUAAAGACUCAGUAAGCACAAAAUCCACAAUGACAAAGGCAGUGAAAUGAAAAUACAUAAGAAUUCUGCACAAAAAAAUUAAGUGGAACAAAGCAAACAGCAACUCUACAACAAAAAACAUAAAAUAACUGUAAAUUCAUACCUAUUGAUAAUCACACUGAAUGUAAACGGUUAAAUGCACCAGUCAAGAGACAGAGAGUAGCAAGACAGAUAAAAAACAGGACCCAUCAAUAUGUUGCCUACAAAAGAUACACCUUAGACACAAGGACAUAAAUAGGUUAAAAAUCAAAGGAUGGAAAAAUAUAUAUUUCAUGCAAACAACCAAAAAGAGAACAGGAGUGACAAUAUUAAACUCUGAUAAAAUAAGACUUCAAAUCAAAAUACAUCAUAAGAGACAAGGGGUAUAAUAUAGUAAUUAAAUUACCAAAAAGAUAUAGCCAUAAUAAAUAUCUUACCCACUCAAUGACAGAGCUCUAAAAUACAUAAACUUUAAAACUAAAACUAAAAAAGAAAUUGACAAUUCCACAAUAAUAGGAGAUAAUAACACCACUUUCGAUGAAGGACAGAACAAGUAGAAAGAAACUAUAAACAAGGAUACAGGAGAUCUAAAUAACACAAUUAACCACCUUGACCUCACAGACAUAUAUAGAACACUUCACCCGGCAGCGGCACAGUACACAUUCUUCUCCAACAUACGUGGAUCAUUCUCCAGAAUAUACUAUAUUUUAGGACACAAAGCAAGCUUCAAUAAAUUAAAAAACAUGAAAAUAAUACAAAGCAUCUUCUCUGACCACAAUGUUAUAAAACUAAAAAUCAGUAACAGGAAGAAAAGGGGGAAAAAUUCAAAUACGUGGACACUGAAUAAUGCCCUGCUUUUUUUUUUUUUAAAAAAAAAAACUGGGUAUCAGAAGAAAUUAAAAAUGAAAUUAAAAAAACUCAGACUAAAAUUAAGAAUGAAAACACAACAUAGAAAAACCUGUGGGACACAGCAACAGCAGCACUAAGAAGAGAAUUCAUAGCACUAAAUCAAAAAAGGGCCAAAUAUCAAAACUUAAGCCUACAACUUAAAUAGAAAAAGCACAGAAAAGAAGACCACAGUCACCAGAAAAAAAGGAAAGAAAGAUUAGAGCAGAAAUGCAAUGAAAUGGAAAACAGAAAAAUAGAAUCAGUAAGACUAGAAGUUAACUCUUUGAGAGGAUCAAUAAAAUAGACAAACCACUAGCCAAAUUGACAAAGGAAAAGAGUGAGAAGAUGCAGAUAACCAAAAUAAAUGAGAUGGGUGACAUUACAACAAACAACCGAGAUAAAAAGGAUCAUAACAGAAUACUAUGAAAAACUGUACUCCAACAAAUUUGAAAACCUUAAUGGACAGAUUUCUAGAAACACACCACCUGCCUAAACUAACAGAAACUGAAGUAGAAAAUCUGAACAGCCCCGUAACAGGAGAAGAGAUCGAAAAAGUAAUAAUAAAAAUAAGAAGAAACUACAAAAAGUACUGCAAGAACCAAAAGAGACCUGCAUAGAUGGAAAAACAUGCCAUGCUCAUGGAUAGAAAGAUUUAACAUUGUGAAAAUGACAAUGCUACUUAAAGUGAUCUACAGAUGUAAUGCAAUCCCAAUUCCAAUUCCAACAACAUUCUUCAACAAGACGGAAAACUAAAUCACCAACUCUAUAUGGAAAGGAAAGAGAAUAUGGGGAGGAAAUAACCUCUUUAACAAAUUGUGCUGGCAAAACUGGAUAUCCAUUUCCAGAAAAAUGAAACAUACCUCACACCACACACAAAAACUAAUGCAAAAUGGAUUGGAGACAUAAAUAUAAAACCUAAAACCAUAAAGAUCAUAGAAGAAAAAACAGCUCUAAUUUAUGGCACAAAUUUAGUUAUCAAACAUAAUUUAAAAAGCACAAACAGCAGAAGACAAAUUAGACAACUCAGACCUCCUGAAAAUGAAAUACUUACACUAAUUAAAAGACUUUUCCAAAAGAGUAAAAAGAAAACCCAAAGAAAAAGUUUGGGGCUAUGACAUGUCAGACAUACGUGACAAGGGUUUAAUCUCUAAAAUUUAUAGAAAAUUUCAAUAAUUCAACAACAAACAGACAAACAACCCAAUUAAGAAAUAGGCAAAGGACACGAACAGACAUUUCACCAAAGAAGACAUCUACGCAGCCAACAAAUACAUGAAGAGCUACUCACAAUCAUUAGCCAUUAGAGAGAUGUACAUCAAAAGUACAAUGAGAUACCAUCUCAUAUCGGUAAUAAUGGCACUGAUCAAAAAAAACAGAAAACAACAAAUGCUGGAGAGGCUGUGGGGAGACUGGAAUUCUCAUACAUUGCUCGAGGGAAUGUAAAAUGGUACAACCACUUUGGAAAAUGAUAUGGCACUUCCUCAAAAAGCUAGAAAUAGAAAUACCAUAUGAUCCAGCAAUCCCACACCUAGGUAUAUAACCUAGAGAAAUAAAAGCCGUGACACAAAUACACAUAUGCAUAUUCGUGUUCACUGCAGCAGUAUACAAUAGCAAAAAGACAGAAACAGACUAAAUGCCCAUCAAUAUAUGAAUGGAUAAACAAACUAUGGUAUGUACAUAUGAUGGAAUACUACGCAACAUUAAAGAUUAAUAACGAAUCCACAAAACAUCUCACAACAUGGAUGAACUUGAAGGGCAUUAUGCUGAGUGAAAUAAAUCAAUCACAAAAGGACAAAUACGAAAGCACUAUUACAAAAAGUCAAGAAAAGGUUUUCACACAGAUAGAAACAUUCUUUGUUGGUUACCAGGGACAGAGGGAGGAGGGAACCACUAACCGGAUAGUAGACACUAACUUUGGUGAAGGGAGAGAUAAUACACAACAUGGGGGAAGUCUGCACAACAUAAUCAAGGGAAAGGAAGACACCGAAAGGUACGCAAGAGUAAAAGGCAAUAACGGUAAAUACUAAUACAUAUACAAUCCUGCAGUGACGGUAAUAACAAACAAUAAUGUACAAGUGGAUACAUAGGUAGAUACGUAAAGUGAACAGGGGUGGGAAGGUGUAUGGAAGUACACCCAUGUACAUAUAUAUGUGUAUAUGCUGUAAAUAUACCCAUGUAUGCAGCAGUAUGCACAGGGAACACAGUCAUGAAAACUUCAUAGCCACAACCAUACACCUCCCAGGACUGAGAGGGCUAGGAACCAUAGUCUCAGGGGACAUCUAGAUCAAUUGGCAUAUUAUAAUAUAUAUAGACAGUGUUCUACAUCCUGCCUUGGUAAGUAGUAACUGGGAUCUUAAAAGCUUGCAAGCAGCCAUCUAAACCUGAACCAAACCAAACCCAUUGCUGUUGAGUUGAUUCUGACUCAUCGCAACCCUAAAGGACAGGGUAGAACUGCCCCAUAGGGUUUCCAAGGGCAGCUGGUAGAUUUAAACGGCCUACCUUUCAGUCAGCAGCCAUAUCUCUCAACCACUAUGCCACCAGGGCUCCAACUGGCCAUCUAAGAUACAAUUGGUCUUCCCAGUUGCUCCUUUCCAGAGCAGAGUGAAGAAAACCAGACUCAAUUAGUCCAAAGGACUAAUGUACCACACGAACCACAGCCUCCACUAACCUGAAACCAGAAGAAUUAGAUGGUGCCUGGCUACCACAACCAACUGCUUUGACUGGGACCACAAUAUUAGGUCAUAGGCAAAGGGGGAGAAAAAUGUAGAACAAAAUUCAAGCUUAUAAAUAAGACCAGAUUUACUGGUCCAAUAGAGACUGGUAGAACCCCUGAGACUAAGCCCUUAGAUGCUCUUCAAACUAGGAACUGAAAAUACUCCUGGAGAUCAUAUUAUAGCCAUACAGCGGAUAGGUCUGUAAAUUAACAAUCACACCAGUGAGGAAUGCACACCUCAGAACAGUCAACUAUACAAGACCCAAAAGGGCAGCAUUUGCCCCAAAGCAAAGCUCAGAACGACAAUAGGGGCAGGAAAACUGCGGGAAUGGACAUCGAGAAUCCAGGGAAGAAGCGGGGAAGAGUGUUGGCACAUUCAGGGUUUGCAACAGAUGUUACGAAAUAAGAUGUGUAUAAAUUGUUGAAUGGGAAACUAAUUUGUUCUGCAAAGUUUCAUCUAAACGAUAAAAUGUUUUAAAAAAAAAGAAAAAAAAACUCUUUUUCUUAGUUAUCUGUAUUACAGUGUUAGUGAUCUUUGUUCCCAAUUAACUACUUAAUUCUAUCUCCUUUUAUGCAUCUAAUGGAUUUUUCCCCAUCGAAUAAUAUUUUCAGAUGAGUAGAAAUUUAAUCAAAUUUCCCUGUUAAAAAAAAAAAAGCCAGAGUUUGACACGGGCUAAAUCUAGUUUAAUUAUAUUAGUUUUUAUAAAAUAUAUUAACUAAAGCUUGGGGGAACAUAUUUUGGAAAAGCCCUUUCCCAGUGACCUGACCUCAAUAUAUUCUCAUUAAUUUUUUUAAAACCUAAGCCCAUCGAUUUUUCUCAUGAGUUAAUUAACUGAAAAGCAGAUCUGGUUCUAAUUGCCAAGUCGGGCUCUAAUUCAUAAUAAACUCUUAGUCAUAGAACUUCAGACCCAAAGUCUGCCUUGCUUACUGUGCCCAGGGCAAGAUGAAAACCUAGAUUAAAAAAGCAUAUUAGAGAACCACAGGACUGUCAAACUUAUUCAGUCAUUAUUAGGGUAUAUUUUUCAUAUUCAGAAUUCUAUGUGAUCCUAAUGAAGUCCUAACAGAAAAAAUGACAUUUUAUAUUAAUUUGUCUGAGUGGUGAAAAUUGGCAUUAGCUGAUCAGUUUCCCUAGAAAUUUUGCAUCAAAAUUGAGACCACUGGAAUUCUGGGAAGAUGGCGGUAUAAGCAUCUCGACAUUGCCCGCCCCUCCCCCCUACACCAUGAAAAGCAACCAGAAGCCUGUACUCAGCCCUGUGAAGACUUUGAAGUGGGAGGAGGUGGACCACAGCUAGGAGCUGGAAACUGAAUCAAGACAAGGACAUAUCUCAUACAGUAGGAAAAACGCUUCUUCCAUCGUCCCCCCCCUCCACUUCCCCUCCAUGAAGGCAGACAGACAGCUGUAGUGGAGACACACCUGCACCCCCAGCCAACACACAGCUGUCCUGUGCACAGGGAAGAACCCCAAUCUCUGGCUCCGAAAUAAAUGGGGCAUAUUUUACUAGCAGGCUGUUUAGGGUAUACAUUCUGACCAGUCUGGAGGUGGUCUGAAAGACUGAAACUCCAGCCUAGACAAACUGGGAGCCCUCAUAGAGCAGGGGAGGGAAUGGUGACUUAGGACUGUGGGCUAUACCUGCCUGAGGUUGGUUUAAUCUGAUCAGUUUGGGAGCUGCUAAAGGACUGAAAUUUGUAUCCAAAUUGAUAAAAGAAGUAAAAGCAUCUCUUUUCAUAGAUGACAUGAUUCCAUAUAAAGAAGACCCCAAAGAAUGCACAAGAAAGCUACUAGAUCUAAUAAAUGAAUUCAGCAAAGUGGCAGAAUGCCAGGUCAAUACAAAAAUCAGUCAGGCUUUUAUAGAUCAGCAAUGGGCACUCGAUAGAGGAAAUUUUUAAAAAUUCCAUUUACAAUCAUAUCCAAAAGAAUAAAAUUCCUAGGAAUAAAUUUAACCAAAGUAAAAGUCUUGUACACUGAAAACUAUAAACAUUACUGAAAGAAAUUAAAGAAGAUCUAAAUAAAUGGAAGGAUAUUGCACGCUCAUGAAUUGGAAGAGUUAGUAUUUUUAAGAUAUUACCUAAAGCAGCUAACAACAACCUAAAACAAUCUAUAAAUCUGAUGUAAUCACAAAAUUCCAACAGCCUUCUUUGCAGAAAUGAAAAAGCCAAUCCUCAAAUAUAUACGGAGCUACUAAGGGCCCUGAAUAGUCAAAGCAAUCUCGAAAAAGUAACAAAGAUGAAGGAUUCACACUUCCUGAUCUAAAAACAUAUUAUAAAGCUACAGUAACAAAACAGUCUGGUACUGGCAUAAUAACAGACAUACAGACAAAUGGAAUAAGAACUGAGAGUCUAGAAAUAAACCCAACUGAUUUUUGAUAAGGGUGCUAAGUCCAUUCAAUGGGAAAAGGAUAAUAUCUUUAACAGAUGGUUCUGGGGCAACUGAAUUUCCACAAGCAAAAGAAUAAACCUGGAUCCAUAUUUCACAUCAUAUAAGAAAACUAACUCGAAAUGGAUCAAAGACCUAAAUGUAAGAACUGAAACCAUGAAACUCUAAGAAAAUGUAGCAGUAAUGCUUUGGGACUUAGUUUUAACAAUGGGUUCUUGGAUAUGAAACCAAAAGCACAAGUAACAAAAGACAAAAUAGAUAAAUGGGACCUCAUCAAAAUUAAAAACAUUUGGUCAUCAAAGAACUUUAUCAAGAAAGUAGAGAGACAACCACCAGAUUGGGAGACAAUUUUUAGAAACCAUAUAUCGGAUAAGGGUUUAAUAUCCAGGAUAUAUAAAUAACUCUUGCAACUUAACAAAAAGACAACCCAAUUUAAAAAUGUGCAAAGGACUUUGAUAGGCAUUUCAUCAAAGAAGGAUAUACAAAUGGCCAACACUCAUACGAAAAGAUGCUCAAUGACAUUAGUCAUUAGAGAAAUACAAAUCAAAACCAUAAUUAGAUACCACUUUGUACCCCCACUAAGAUGGCUAUUAUAAAACAAAACAGAAAACAACUGUUGUUGGUAAGGAUGUGGAGAAACUGAAACCCUCAUCCACUGCUGGUGGGAUUGUAAAAUGGUACAGCUGGAAAACAGUUCGUUGGUUCUUCAAAAAGUGAGAAUUACAAUAAAAACAAACAAACAAAAAAAAAAACCCAGUGCCGUCAAGUUGAUUCCAACUCA